UUAUAAAAAGAAAAGCAUUCCCUUCUCCGCUCUCGCUGUCAACAACAUCCCUUCCGAAGGCACUCACCACGGAGAGCGUGGAGACUCAGUUUGAGAAGGAGCAUCAGUUAAACCUGCAAAGGCAGGGAAGCCAGAAGAGAAAAAUGAAGACAAGCCAUUUUGAAAUGCUCACCAUGCUGCUGGCAGCUGUGAUCCUAAUAGACAUCUUCCAGGUGAAUGCUGAAAUAUUAGACAUGGCAGCCAAUGCAUUUGAUGAUGAAUACCUGAAAUGCACUGACAGAAUGGAGAUCAAAUACGUCCCCCAACUGCUCAAUGAGGAAAAAGCAAGCCACCAGCUCUUGACAACUGUGUGGGAAAAUGCCAGAACCAAAUGGGAAGCUCAGAAGACUCGGCUCGUUCUCCCGGAGAGUUUUAAAGAUAACCAUGGAGUAGCCCUGAUGGCAUAUAUUUCUGAAGCUCAAGAACAAACCCCCUUUUACCUCAUGUUCAACGAAGCCGUGAAGAUGGCGGGCCAGUCUCGGGAAGACUACAUCUACAGUUUCCAGUUCAAAGCGUUUCAUUUCUACCUGACAAGAGCUGUGCAGUUUCUGAGGGGCCCUUGUGAGGACUCUUACCACACUGUGGUGUACGCCAAAAGCCAGGGCGCGUCGUUUCUGUUUGGAGGGCUAAACCAAGCCAGGUUUGGCCACUUCACCCUGGCUUAUUCAGCCAAGCCCCAAGCUGUCAAUGAGCAGGAUAGCCUGCUCGUCAUCAACACAUGCUUUGGCGUUUCCGUUGAGAAGUUUUUGGAUAAAGAAAGCAAAAGAACUGUUUUAAUUCCUCUGAAUGAGGUGUUUCAAGUGUCACAGGAAGAGAACAGCAAUAGUCUUUUUCUUCGAAGCACAAACAAAACCUGCAGCCACUACGAGUGUGCAUUUCUGGGCGGACUAAAGAGCAAUAAUUGUGUGGAGAACAUAGUCUCUUUUCAGCCCAUCCAUGUCCACGGCCCUGAUGAGAAAACCCAGAAGCUUGCAGACCCUGUCUCAUUACCAGGCACAGAAAGCCACGAGCCUGCUGUGAUGCCUGGUAAGCCUUUUCACGUAAUCUCGACUCCUGUUUCUCAGAUAGCACCUCAGAGGGAGGUGCUGGGGUGAUGAUGUGUGCAGGACAGGGCGGCGGGGAGCUGGAAAGCAACACCUACACUUUAUCUUGGAUUAUGGACUACAGUAUAAACUUUUUAAUUGCUGGGGGUGGGGGUAAUGUGUCACUUUUUCGGAAAAGGAGGCAGGCAGGAAGUCAAAUAAGUUUGGGAACUUGUGCUGCAGGGUUAGGGGAAAGUCGCUGGGUCCUUUAAGAAAGCCAGACGGUGGGACUCAAACAUACCAGUGAUCACGAAGACGGUGCAGGAUCAGGCCCUGCUCCAGCCGGCUGUUCCUAAAGUGGCCAUGAGCUGGUGUCGGCUCCAGAGCAUAGAGCAGCAGCAUGUACGUUCCCAAGCACUUUUAUGUACUCACGACGCUCGCCUCUUUCACUACAAACCUCCAAAUGCACUGCCAUUGAGUGAGUAAAACUGAGCAACCCCACAGACCGAGAACCGACCCUCUGGGUUUCUGAGACCUACCUCUCGACAGGAGUAGAAAGCUUCAUCUUUCUCCGGCAGAGCUGGUGGUGGUUUUGAACUCCUGACCUUUUGGUUAGCAGCCCAAGAAGACGCUCUCACCAAGGUUAAGUAGCUUGCCCAAAGUCAAAGAGCUAAUAGGUAGCUGACAAGCUGAUUUAAAUCCAGCACUGGCUCUUUAAAAAAAAACAACAACAAAACUUACAUCCUGGGCUGACCGUAAAAACGAGGUAAGAGACUAGAUGAUGGGAGUUUGGGAAUUCGAGACUAACUUGCAUUAGACUUUGUGCCAUUAGAGAAUGAAGAACCAUUGAAAGUUGUUUUUCUUGUUAUUGUGGGUUUUUUGGUUUCUCUUUGAAAGUUGGAAAUGGGGCGGCCUAGACCAAAGGUGCAUUAACAACAUAACUGGUUAACAUUAACCAAUAUUCAUUUCUGUCCUUAGAGGUGAAAAAGCACGAACCCACUCAAAUGCCUGGAAUGAAAAUGCCAGAACUGUUUUCAUUACCUGCCCGUGGCACACUGCCAGUUCCAGUGCCAGGACCCAAAACCCACCCCUCGGCCUCCUCUGUGCAAAUCCUCCUUCCACCGCUUGGGACACUCAUCAUUUUAACCUGUGCUUCUGCCGUCCAUCUCUUUGUUGCUCUUUAGUUUAGUAUGCUCUGUAGUUUAGUAUGCUCUUUCUCAUCUGAAAGAUACUACAGGGAUCCUUUGUCACUUGUUGGCCAAAGUCUCAUGGGGAAAAUGAGAAUCGUAUUCUUUGUUAGUCAUUUCACAAGUUCAGAAAGUUGGUCCAGGUAGGAUCUGUCAUAGCAUUAACUUUUCACAGGCUUCUAUAUUAACCUAAUGGUUGGAAGAAAAAAAACCCAAAAACCAAACCAAUCCCAAAUCUGUAUACUUGUUUGAGUUCAAUAAAAGCCUGUAAGAUUAUUUAAGUAGUUUCAGUAGAAUUAGCAGAUAUUAAAAUGUCUGAUACUAAUGAUAGUGGCUUUAAUACCUGAUUUAGAAUAUUAAAGCAUCUACAGGAUCACCUCUUUGCAGACGUAAACUUUUAAUAGUUUCACCUUUCCAUGGCAACCUCCCCAAAUGGGAACAUUUUGUAUUUCUAUGAGCACAACAGUUCACAGUUCCUGUGGAGUCGCACUUGAAUCUCACAGGUGACGUAGUACAGGACUUUUAGGCAUUACAGUGGUUGAAUAAAGCACAGACUUUGUAACCAA